rnacentral:rRNA from 1 species
AUUUGCAAUGUGUGUGGCGCUGAUGAUGAAACGGGAUUCCAUGUUGCACACUGAUGUACGUUUGCGAGAGCCCUAUGGCAUGAGUUGAAGGAUGUGUGGAACCUUCCUCCUGAGCAUGAAAUAAGCUACACGGGAAAGGAUUGGGUUCUUGUCCUACUAGAUAAAGUGACUGAAGACUUACGACAAAAACUUAUGCUAUUCUGGUGGCGUGUUUGGCAUUAUAGAAAUGAUGCGAUCUUUGCGAAAGGUAAAGCAAAAAUCUCCCACUCUGCUCAGUUUUUGCAAAACUACCUUGCAAACAUCCGUUUGAUCGAGAACGGAAACUCCGAGAUUGAUUGUAAAGGGUGGGCCAAGGUCAAUGUGGAUGGAAGUUUUUUGCAGGAGAAUAGCAGUUGA